rnacentral:misc_RNA from 1 species
GAUGAAGAACGUAGCGAAAUGCGAUAAGUAGUGUGAAUUGCAGAAUUCAGUGAGUCAUCGAAUCUUUGAACGCACAUUGCGCCCCUUGGUAUUCCAUGGGGCAUGCCUGUUCGAGCGUCAUUUGUACCUUCAAGCUUUGCUUGGUGUUGGGUGUUUGUCUCGCCUUUGCGUGUAGACUCGCCUUAAAAUAAUUGGCAGCCGGCGUAUUGAUUUCGGAGCGCAGUACAUCUCGCGCUUUGCACUCAUAACGACAGCGUCCAAAAGUACAUUUUACACUCUUGACCUCGGAUCAGGUAGGGAUACCCGCUGAACUUAAGCAUAUCAAUAAGCGGAGGA